UAAGCCAUGCAUGUCUAAGUAUAAACGAUUUAAUCGUGAAACCGCGAAUGGCUCAUUAUAACAGCUAUAAUUUACUUGAUCUUGACACAAUCCUACUUGGAUAACUGUGGUAAUUCUAGAGCUAAUACAUGCAUUAAAGCUCUGACCUCACGGGAAGAGUGCAUUUAUUAGAACAAAACCAAGCGGCUUCGGCUGUUUCUGGUUGACUCAUAGUAACUGAGCUGAUCGCAUGGUCUUGCACCGGCGACGUGUCUUUCAAGUAUCUGCCGUAUCAACUUUCGAUGGUAGUGUAUCUGACUACCAUGGUGAUCACGCGUAACGGAGAAUAAGGGUUCGGCUCCGGAGAGUUCGCCUGAGAAAUCGCGAACACAUCUAAGGAAGGCAGCAGGCGCGAAAAUUACCCACUCUCAGCACGAGGAGGUAGUGACGAAAAAUAACGAGACCGUUCUCUUAUGAGGCCGGUCAUCGGAAUGGGUACAAUUUCAACCCUUUAACGAGU
rnacentral:rRNA from 1 species